CUAGAGAAGGAUAUAUACUUUGUAUCUUUACUUGAAAGGCAGGUUUAAUUGCCAGCUCUUCCAGUCUUCCCUCAUCACUUUCGUUUAACAAAUAUUUAGUUCUGCUGGACUCACAUACAUCUGUACAUUAUGCAAGGUAUUGUGAUGACAGACACAUUAGGAACUGGAAAAGGUCAGACAUUAGAGCUGUGAGCACUAUAUAAGGAAAGCAAGAGAGAAAAAAAGUCACAUUUCAAGGAAUGAGAGAGAAAAGGCUGGAUUUACUGGCAAAAGCACCUGAGCUUCUGAAGAAGCAAAGGGAGAAACCAGUUAAGUUAGAAGAAAACCCUGAAGCUACUUUUUAGAUGCCAGACUUGGUACUAGGAGGGAAAAGAAUUAGAGAUGAAGAUGCUGAAGUUUGGACUUGGACUCAGAGACCCAUUCUCAGCAGAAUGAGGCUGGCAGGAAAACUGCCAGGGACAGAAGAAAACCACAAGCCCCUGACUUCUCAUGCCCUAAGCAGCAACCAAACCAGGACCCUCCCCAUCAGCUUACUAAAAAUCUUGCCCAGAACUCUGAGGACACCAACCAUUUUGCUUAUACAUCUGCCUUCGAAGUAUGAAAGUGUCAAAAGCAGUAGUCCCUGAUUAAAAAAAGUGCAAUCAUACAUGAGUCAGUAUGAUGAAUGUUCUUACCUACAACCUGAAAGAAAUCUUCAUCAAGAUGUGAAGUAGGCAAAUACUAUGGAAGCACUAGUAGCUGGAGAGGUAUCACCAAGGAGAGAUAUCACCAAGGUUCUUUUCUGUCACUUUUCACUGGAAUCAUGUACUAGAAGAUUAUCUUACUUGUACUAGAAGGUUAUCUUAUGUGUCUGUAUUUCACUUGUUGCUC
rnacentral:lncRNA from 14 species